rnacentral:rRNA from 1 species
CAUUGCACUUGAUCCAGCAUCAAGUAUGGGGGAGUGAGAGAGUAUUUCUUCGGCCACCUCUUUUGGUGCCGGCUUUUACCUCAAAUAAAUUUACAAUUUUUUCCUCACUGUCCCAAGACUACCCGCUGAACUUAAGCAUAUCAAUAAGCCGGAGGAAAAGAAACCAACAGGGAUUACCUCAGUAACGGCGAGUGAAGCGGUAAAAGCUCAAAUUUGAAAUCUUCGGAAUUGUAAUUUGAUGGAUAAAAUUGCUACGGUCGAAAGUUCACUGGAAAGUGACGCCAUAGAGGGUGAUAGCCCCGUAACGUCCACUGGCACUAUAAUUUUAUUCCAAAGAGUCGGGUUGUUUGGGAAUGCAGCUCAAAGUGGGUGGUAAAUUCCAUCUAAAGCUAAAUAUUGACGAGAGACCGAUAGCGAACAAGUACAGUGAUGGAAAGAUGAAAAGAACUUUGAAAAGAGAGUGAAACAGUACGUGAAAUUGUUGAAAGGGAAGGGGAGGGAAGAUGUUAAAGGGAACUCCUUCAGCGUAGGGAUCCCCCCAAAGAGUCUUUCCUCUCGCCCGUCUUGAAACACGGACCAAGGAGUCUAACGAUUAUGCAAGUAUUUGAGUCAACCCCCAAAUGCGUAAUGAAAGUAAUUGGUCAACCCUACCCUCCUGUCCUAAAGG